rnacentral:miRNA from 1 species
GCAUGGAACGUAUCGAUUCACCG